rnacentral:rRNA from 1 species
UACGUAGGUGGCAAGCGUUGUCCGGAAUUAUUGGGCGUAAAGAGCUCGUAGGCGGUUCGUCGCGUCGGCUGUGAAAACCCGGAGCUCAACUCCGGGCCUGCAGUCGAUACGGGCGGACUCGAGUUCGGCAGGGGGAGACGUGGAAUUCCUGGUGUAGCGGUGAAAAUGCGCAGAUAUCAGGAGGAACACCGGUGGCGAAGGCGGGUUUCUGGGACGGUACUGACGCUGAGACGCGAAAGCGUGGGGAGCGAACAGG